rnacentral:rRNA from 1 species
GAGCGCUCUAACCACUUCGGUGGGGAUGGGAGCGGCGGACGGGUUAGUAACGCGUGGGAACAUGCCCUUCACUACGGAAUAGCCACUGGAAACGGUGAGUAAUACCGCAUACGCCCUUCGGGGGAAAGAUUUAUCGGUGAAGGAUUGGCCCGCGUAAGAUUAGAUAGUUGGUGGGGUAACGGCCUACCAAGUCGACGAUCUUUAGCUGGUUUGAGAGGAUGAUCAGCAACACUGGGACUGAGACACGGCCCAGACUCCUACGGGAGGCAGCAGUGGGGAAUCUUAGACAAUGGGCGCAAGCCUGAUCUAGCGAUGCCGCGUGAGUGAUGAAGGUCUUAGGAUCGUAAAGCUCUUUCGCCAGGGAUGAUAAUGACAGUACCUGGUAAAGAAACCCCGGCUAACUCCGUGCCAGCAGCCGCGGUAAUACGGAGGGGGUUAGCGUUGUUCGGAAUUACUGGGCGUAAAGCGCACGUAGGCGGAUCAGUAAGUUAGAGGUGAAAUCCCAGGGCUCAACCCUGGAACUGCCUUUAAUACUGCUAGUCUUGAGUUCGAGAGAGGUG